CCAUCUGGUAGUCCCACCACCGCUCAAUAAUGUCGAUGUACUCCUAGACAUGCGUCGGAUCUGCCUCAAUGAUCUAGGUCUUUGCCCUCUUCAUUAUGUGAUACAGGAAGCCCAUUUAAGAUACCUCUUGUUGUCUACGGCCCGAAGCACUUCAUACAAUGGUCUGAUAGUCUUCACUAUCGCAGUGCCCCGCUACUAAAAUAUCUGCCUCGUCACCAAGUCCUCGACACUGCUCCCUUCAAUGUCGGCCCUCGCAUAUCUACUUUUCUGCCACUCAAGACUGACAAACAUCUGACGUAGAGUUGCUUUUCUCUCAGAAAGACUAUCAAGUACAACAUAGUUGAUAGCAAACCGUAUAACUCCUGAUCUCAAGACCUCUCACCCUACAUACCUCCUCAUCAAUGAAAAGACCCACAUACGGUUAUAAAUAUACCCAUUGAUGGUUUGGGUUGCCUUCAGUGUUUGCCGCACCCUACAAAUUUUUGUAAUGUUCAUCAACAUGAGGUCGAUACAAUGUGCAGCUAAUAGGAUCCAAAAAAUGUGGCUGCCGCUCCAUCAAGAUCUCUCCGGCAGCCUUAUAUUGGGGUCCAUUAUCAGUGAUGACCCGCACGACAUUCUCCGCUCUUACCUAAUCAAUCACCUCCUCCAUCAUUUUAAGAAAGUACAUGGCGUCUGUCACAACCCCCAUUCUGCGGGCAGCCGCGACGGUCCUAGGGUGCGGGUAGGCAUAAAGCCACCAACCACCACGUAGAACCUUAAACCUUCGAAACAUUUUGGCAUGAUAUAUGCACAAAAUAAGCACUUUUGAUCUACGUUAACCUGUCAGGAUAUAUCAAAACAUACAACCACUCUACCUGUCAGAGCAGCAAUUACAUAACCUGUCACAUAAUAAACCUGGACAAUAUAUAGCAAUACAUUAUCACAGGCACACAACUGAUCUGUAUAAAACCUGGUUCCCAAUCCAUCCAUGGCUAACCCAUAUCCACAACAGGAUCUAUGUCUAUAACUGUACACUAUAUACAACUGAAAGGUUUAUAAUACACCAAAAAUAUAUAAACCUCUAUUCUACAUUAUACUAUGGAGCAGCCAGCUAGCAGGCAACCUCUAGUCCUGCACCUCUCUAUACGGCACCUGCCCUGCAACAAGGAUAUCAACUGGGGAGUGAGUAUAUGAAUACUCAGUGAGUGGAGUAGAGAGUACUAUGCACAU
rnacentral:lncRNA from 1 species